UGGUUUCUUCAAUUUUCUUAA
rnacentral:piRNA from 1 species